rnacentral:rRNA from 1 species
CUGCGGAAGGAUCAUUAGUGAAUAUAGGACGUCCAACUUAACUUGGAGUCCGAACUCUCACUUUCUAACCCUGUGCACUUGUUUGGGAUAGUAACUCUCGCAAGAGAGCGAACUCCUAUUCACUUAUAAACACAAAGUCUAUGAAUGUAUUAAAUUUUAUAACAAAAUAAAACUUUCAACAACGGAUCUCUUGGCUCUCGCAUCGAUGAAGAACGCAGCGAAAUGCGAUAAGUAAUGUGAAUUGCAGAAUUCAGUGAAUCAUCGAAUCUUUGAACGCACCUUGCGCUCCAUGGUAUUCCGUGGAGCAUGCCUGUUUGAGUGUCAUGAAUACUUCAACCCUCCUCUUUCUUAAUGAUUGAAGAGGUGUUUGGUUUCUGAGCGCUGCUGGCCUUUACGGUCUAGCUCGUUCGUAAUGCAUUAGCAUCCGCAAUCGAACUUCGGAUUGACUUGGCGUAAUAGACUAUUCGCUGAGGAAUUCUAGUCUUCGGACUAGAGCCGGGUUGGGUUAAAGGAAGCUUCUAAUCAGAAUGUCUACAUUUUAAGAUUAGAUCUCAAAUCAGGUAGGACUACCCGCUGAACUUAAGCAUAUCAAUAAGCCGGAGGAAAGGAUCAUUAGUGAAUAUAGGACGUCCAACUUAACUUGGAGUCCGAACUCUCACUUUCUAACCCUGUGCACUUGUUUGGGGAUAGUAACUCUCGCAAGAGAGCGAACUCCUAUUCACUUAU